rnacentral:rRNA from 1 species
ACACAUGCAAGUCGAACGAGAGAUGAGGAGCUUGCUCUUCAAAUCGAGUGGCGAACGGGUGAGUAACGCGUGAGGAACCUGCCUCAAAGAGGGGGACAACAGUUGGAAACGACUGCUAAUACCGCAUAAGCCCACGGCUCGGCAUCGAGCAGAGGGAAAAGGAGCAAUCCGCUUUGAGAUGGCCUCGCGUCCGAUUAGCUAGUUGGUGAGGUAACGGCCCACCAAGGCGACGAUCGGUAGCCGGACUGAGAGGUUGAACGGCCACAUUGGGACUGAGACACGGCCCAGACUCCUACGGGAGGCAGCAGUGGGGAAUAUUGCACAAUGGGGGAAACCCUGAUGCAGCGACGCCGCGUGGAGGAAGAAGGUCUUCGGAUUGUAAACUCCUGUUGUUGAGGAAGAUAAUGACGGUACUCAACAAGGAAGUGACGGCUAACUACGUGCCAGCAGCCGCGGUAAAACGUAGGUCACAAGCGUUGUCCGGAAUUACUGGGUGUAAAGGGAGCGCAGGCGGGAAGACAAGUUGGAAGUGAAAUCUAUGGGCUCAACCCAUAAACUGCUUUCAAAACUGUUUUUCUUGAGUAGUGCAGAGGUAGGCGGAAUUCCCGGUGUAGCGGUGGAAUGCGUAGAUAUCGGGAGGAACACCAGUGGCGAAGGCGGCCUACUGGGCACCAACUGACGCUGAGGCUCGAAAGUGUGGGUAGCAAACAGGAUUAGAUACCCUGGUAGUCCACACCGUAAACGAUGAUUACUAGGUGUUGGAGGAUUGACCCCUUCAGUGCCGCAGUUAACACAAUAAGUAAUCCACCUGGGGAGUACGACCGCAAGGUUGAAACUCAAAGGAAUUGACGGGGG